rnacentral:lncRNA from 1 species
GCUCUGUGCUGAGAGUUAAAGAGAGAAAGAGAAAGAGAAAACUCGGUACAUGCUCUCAGGCUUACUCAAGAGACAAUAAUUGCAUUAAAAUGUCAUUAGGGAGCUCCACUAAUGAGAAGGAUAGAAGCCUCAAGCUCCCAGAGACACAGGAAGCAGAAAGAAAGUCCACACAUCAGAGGCGACUUGGAAAAGGUCUAACACAAUGGGACACUUAAAAAAAUGCCAAUUAUAUAGUAGGGGCAAAUAGUGUUUCAUGAACAGGACAUAGGGAUUCUGUUUGAGAAGAGGCCUCCAUGAACAAAGACAGGGAUAUGCUUGGCCCUAAAGGGCCCACCAUAUCUUCCCAUUUCUGAAAGGAUAGCAGAACACACGGAUGGAGAUGCAAUUUGGGGCAGUUUGGGGCACGAGGCAUUAGACGUGCCCAGGAAGAACGGCAAGGAUCUCGGGCAGUCAUGACAACACUAUUUCUUCCUAACCUGUCUUGCUCUUUAUGAAACUGAUGGGUAUAUUUCAAAGUUUAUAACCUUCCUAACAAACCAGGGACAUGGUUGUUAUUACAUACUCCCCUUAAGAAAGUAUCUUCCCUUGAUAGGCGGGGUGGCUCACACCUGUAAUCCCAGCACUUUGGGAGGCCAAGGCAGGAGGAUCACUUGAGGCCAGGAUUUCAAGUCUAGCCUGGCCAACAUGGUGAAACCCUGUCUCUACUAAAAACAUAAAAAUUAACCAGGUGUGGUGGUGCAUGCCUGUAGUCCUAGCUACUCUCGAGGCUGACACAAUAAUUGCUUGAGCCUGGGAGGCAGAGGUUGCAGUGAGCCGAGAUUGAGUCACAGCACUCCAACCUGAGUAACAGAACAAGACCCUGCCUCAAAAACAAACAAACCAAGAAACAAACAAACAGGAACCAGGUGUGGUCCUUCCCUAAACAGCCACCUAACUAACAAACUUUGGGAACACAGUCCCUGGAGGUAUGGAAAGAAUACCACCACAUCAGAAGCCAAGAGAUCAGGGGUCAGCGCUAGUAAUUUAAUCUGUGACCCUUGAUCAAGUUUCUUAACCUGCACACCUCAGCUGGCUUCUCUGUAAGCUGUGAGAUCCACCCAACAUAUGGGGCUUUCUGAAUGACUGAUUCCCGCGAUCCAGGCCCAGGGCAUGACCAACGACUGCCUUCCCAUCGCUCCCUCUUCCUUCCAGCCCCUAAGCUCAUCUGAUUCUAUGACUUAAAGGAAUGGUAUAGAAAACUAAAUGCCAUAGGUAUGUAAUUUUCUUUAAUUUUUGUUUUUAUUUUAAGUUCUGGGAUACAUGUGCAGGACGUGCAGGUUUGUUACAUAGGUAAAAAAAAAAAAAAAAAAAAAAAAAAAAAAAAAAAAAAAAAAAAUUACAGCACUAUUCACAAUAGCA